GGGGGGGAGGGAGAGGGAGGGGGCUACAGACCUCAAAAGCACAAGGGUUCCCACCACUAUGCUUCUCCUGGGCAGCAGGGGGGUCCUGGUCAUGCUCCUGGAGAGAUGAGGGCUGAGCUGGACAACUCAACACAGAGAGGCUUCUUCCUCAGCCGAAUGGUGGGUCCAGCCCAGCAGCACCACACCACAAGGCAAGACCCAUGAGGGAAAGCAGGAUGGGAGCAGUCCUCACCCCUGCUCAGCACUCACCUGCCUGCUCGGGCUGUCAAACCAGAGGGAGAGGUGCAGAGAAGUCAUUGUCAGCUAUGGAAACCUCAGCUCACCUGUCAAUGGAGCUACACAGCAGUCAAAAAGCCUUAAGACAAAAGUUUUUCAUCACAACUACUUAAAAGUUUUCAAUAUAUAAAAAACACAGCCUAGGAAAAAAAAAAAGCAGGCUUCCUUUCAGAGUACUCUCAUUGUCACUUAACAAGCCAAGUGGACUGCACAGUUUUUAGAUGUUUCUCCAUAAAAUAAAAAGUUUCUGGCCGGGAACUUCCACAGGGCCGAGGGGAUUUAGCAAGUCACUGAGACAAGGAGAAAAACUAAACGCCCCCAAACCCAACAGAACAAGCACACUGACCUGACUGGGCACAUCGUCAUGGAAACAGGCUGGCCAAGGUUGGAAGGGACUUCUGGACACCAUCUUGUUCAGGAUGACCACAGCCUUCCCUCUUGUUAGUGUCUAUCAGCUCACUCAAAACAUUGAGAGGUGAUGUAGGGUGGGCUCUAACACCAAGAACAUUCUCCACUUCUGAAAGUGCCAUCUGACGCUCAAACAAUGCUAAGUCCAGGUCCUACAUGACACUGUACUGGAGCCUUUUAACCUAAAUUCCUUGCCAAUGGCUGUAACUGUUUUUAGGGAGGAAAAAGGGACACACACACAAGAAUUUUGCUUCCUGAUUUUAGCACAAAGAAUAUUUUUCAUCUUGGUGCUAAGCAACAAAUAUUUCUUCCUCUUCCAUUCAAGAAACAAAACCCCACAAAGCAGAGUUGACAUUUACCAGCUGUUCCAGUGUAACAACCCUUACCUGAGCAGUGGACAGUAUGUGAUACGUACCUGAUAACACUAGAGGGAGCUUGAAGAGGAGGAAGAGGAAGCACUGUUAUUUUUGCUGAAAGGGGUAAGUUUGCAAGAUAGUAUAACCUUGUUUAUACAGUGACAAAAAACAUUCAACUAAAGGACAAGAUUCCUGUUUUCCAUUCCUUCUCUUAAUGUAUCCUGGGUGGUGUGAAAGUCCCUAGCUAAACAUUGCCUGUUCUUCCUCACAAACAGAAGAGAGGUCUUCCACAUUGUCAAAGAGGACACCCACAGAACUAUUUUGGCUUGCUCAAAAUCAAGCAGUUUUCACACAAUGUGAUUCAAGUCCCCAGACAACGGCUGCUGCAUGACCACAUCUCUGAAUGAAGCUGGAAUUUCAGCGGUUGAAAAGAGAGCUGAAGCAAGAAGCCAAUACCAGGAACCCCAAGAACUGCUGACUGGCCAAAAAGCACCAACUCCACAAUAGUAUCCCUCUCAGAACAUCAUUGCAGUAUACAUUGCACCCUGACCACACUGGCAGCAGCCUUGAGCUAGCAGAGAGUGAGAAGGAUGCACGCUAUCAAAUUUACAUACAUCAAGCAGACAACAAUAUGACCAAAAUUAAAAAGCUACUAAUACACAGCAAUCUGCCAAAUUGAAGUUCUGGACACUUUGGAUAUCCAGCUCCCUGUCUGUAUCUAUUAUAUUAUGAAUAUCAUCUCUAUGACUAUCAGCAGCUGGAACAUACAAGGUUUGCUUUCCUCAGUGUUUGGAAUAAAGCCUUUGUCUAUCUCA
ensembl:lncRNA